rnacentral:tRNA from 1 species
GGGAUAUAGCUCAGUUGGGAGAGCGUUUGAAUGGCAUUCAAAAGGUCGUCGGUUCGAUCCCGAUUAUCUCCACCA